rnacentral:tRNA from 1 species
GCCACUGUAGCUCAGUUGGUAGAGCAACACAUUCGUAACGUGUAGGUCACGAGUUCGAGUCUCGUCAGUGGCU